rnacentral:rRNA from 1 species
CCUACGGAGGCCGCAGUGGGGAAUAUUUCGCAAUGGGGGAAAACCUGAUGCAACCAAGCCGCGUGAGGGAGGAAGUAUUUCGGUAUGUUAAGCUCUAUUAGCAGGGAAUAGAAAAGAAGGUAACUGAAAAAGAAGCCCCGGCUAAAUCCGUGACCGUACCCGCGGUAAUACGUAGGGGUCAAGCGUUAUCAGGAUUUACUUGGUGGAAAGGGAGCGUAGACGGCAAGGCAAGUAAGAAGUGAAAUCCCAAGGCUCAACCAGGGGACUGCUUUUGAAACUGUCAAACUAGCUUACGGGAGAGGUAAGUGGAAUUCCUAGUGUAGCAGUGAAAUGCUUAGAUAUUUGGAGGAACACCAGUGGCGAAGGCGUCUUACUGUACCGAAACUGACGUUGAGGCUCGAAAGCGUGGGGAGCAAACAGGAUUAGAUACCCUUGUAGUC